CACUGGUCCGAGUGCAGUGGUGUUUGCAACUAAUUGAUCACAGCGUUACAGACUUUGUUUCUUCUCCAUUGCCACUGCUUCAUUUGACUAGCCUUUA
ensembl:misc_RNA Y_RNA Y RNA